rnacentral:lncRNA from 1 species
UGCAAGUCUGUCCAGUUCCAAAUUCCAUUUCUAAUGGAACCUUUGAUCUGAAGAAGGCACAAUACAUAUACCAGGACUCUGUGAAAUAUACAUGUAAUGUAGGCUUUAUACUUGUGGGGGUAGAUACAAUAUCCUGUACAACAACGGGAACCUGGAGCUCAGCUGAACCUCAGUGUAAAGGUAAGGACUGCGUGCUAAUAGGGUAACUUUCACACAGGGUAUAAAAUAUUAGUAUAACAGCAAAAUUGCCAUUAAUAUCACAUAUUGUGGGUAUGACAAAAAUGUAAAUUAAUAAAAAUGAUCAAUUACAAUGCAUUACUAUCAGCUUACUAGCUCACUACAAAAGGCAAUAGAAAGUAAAAAUAAUGUCUGCAGUUAGGCAUAAUGCCUACAAAAAGUAAAUAUGGUACAUUUAAAACAUGCUUCUGAAAUAAAGAUAUGUAAAACGACUAUAGCAAUCUUUAUCAAUCUCUUUAAUUUAGAUCUAAUGCUAACAGUGAAGUGAUAGAGUCUGGUAACCCCUCCACCUUCCCAGACUGUAGGAAUGAAGCCCACGGAGCAACGCAGGAGGGGAGUGGGCCUUGACAGGACCAGAGAGUUGGCAGGGGUAUUUAAGGCCAAGGGGUUGGUUUAAGUUAAUGAAUGGGGAGGAGGGAAAAGGAAGUUAAAUAGAAGCCAUCUUAGUUAGUGGCCAUUUUAAUUUGAGCCUCACUUACCUGUGAGUUGUCCUUCCCACCCACUCUAGGAGUAGGAAGUAGUUCCCGUUUGGUCACAAUGGCGGGAAAAGGGCUUGGUUAAACAGGAAUUUUGGUGGGUUAGGAAAUUGGUAGGCCAAGGUCUAGGCUGGAAUAGUCCAGAGUUAAAGUGUUUGCUAGGUUCGAGCCCGUCGGUGGCUAUGAACCAAGGAGUAUAGGGGUGUCUGGGUACACCCCUGCAGUUAGACAAAUGGAUGUGGGGCCUCUUUGGUGGGCCGUGUGUUAUACGUUAUGUAUUAUUUGUAAUGUUUAGUAUUGUUCUCUGGUAGGGUCAUUGUCAGGGGUAUUGUGCGGGAUAGAGCGGAACGAAGUUAUUACUGUUGACAAUGACCCUAAAUUGUUAAUUUAAAUAUUUAUAAUAAUUUAAUAAAGCUGUGGACUUUAUACUCCAACAGAAUAAAUUGGUGUCCGAGUGUUAUUCAAGUAAAAGGUUAAGCACAUGCCGAAUAACGACUGUGCACAUGUCAUGAUAUGCUCCACAAUUUUUAGCAAAUUUGCAGGCAUUAUAUAAGUGGAUAUUACCUCCAACCAGAGUAAUGCACUCCUCUACUGGCUAAUAAUCAUUUAUAGAGUAUAAAUGUGUUUGAGUAAGGCUUCAUUGACUACAUUCAAUUCUUGAGAAACCCAAAUUACUAAACGCUCUUCAUAAAGAAAUAGAAAGAAUGAGAGACGUAAAGAUCCUGGCAAAUGGUUUUCCAGUUGACUCUAAUUUCUUCUUUCAUUCAAUUCAAAAUUCAUAAGAGGAAGAAAAUUGAGCCACCAUACAUCAAAUAUAAUGUCUGGACUCCUUCAUUACUAGGUCAUUUAGAAUAAUGUCUACACUUUGUAUUUUUACCAUAUGUAGGCUACAUUUUCCAGUUCUACAUUUACGAUUUGUGAUUACCUAUUGUACAUAUAUCGUAUGAAACAUUUGUGAUUACCUAUUGUAUAUAUAGUUUUUAUUUGUUUGUUCCUUAGUGCAAGUCUGUCCAGUUCCAAAUUCCAUUUCUAAUGGAACCUUUGAUCUGAAGAAGACACAAUACAUAUACCAGGACUCUGUACAGUAUACAUGUAAUGCAGGCUUUAUACUUGUGGGAGUAGAUACAAUAUCCUGCACAGCAACGGGAACCUGGAGCUCAGCUGAACCUCAGUGUAAAGGUAAGUUCUGCUUGAUACUUCAGGAGGUAAAUUAAGUUGUUGUUUUUUUUGCUAAAGCAUGCACUAGCAUUGAUAUUUAUUUUCCAUUAGUACUCAUGAAUGAAAGUGGAUCUCCAAGAUUCUGGAAAAUUGUCCUCCAUUUGCCAGAAUCUUUUAGAUUGUGGCAAAUUAAAUUGAACCAUAUCUCUUUUUCCAUUCUGUUGAAAGUGAGGUGAAGAUUACUAUAUGAUGCUGAUAAAAAGGUUUUUAGGUGAAUAUGAUAGUGGAGUCAUUUGACAAUUUAUAUUUUUCAGAGGAUCAGGCUUUUUUUCUGAGCUGCAGGUACAUUUGCCCCCAAUUGUGACCCUUAGAUAAUUAUUGUAAACAAUAGAAUUUCAACAAAAUAAAUAAAUAAAAAUUAUACUAAUUAUAAAAAAAAAAAGGCCAAACGAGCCUAAAACACCACAGUGUAGUUUGGAAUAACAUCUCCUUCUUGCACAUUGACUAAUUGGUGGGCAUGGUUCAAUUUUUAUAAAAAUUAAAAAAAAAAGAUUACAUCAUGACAAUUCUCUAUAUAAUCAUUGCAAGUUUUCCUGUAAUUUGAAUGGGAUUUUUUGAUCUAAUUAAUUGCAAAAGUACUCACUUAAGGUUUGAUGGGUGAACAAAUGUAAUGUCAACACUACUGCUUAGUAACUAAUAUUCUCCUAUACACUUUAUAGCAAUCUGUAGAUCCACUAUUAAAGAAAAAGUGAUUUAAAUACAUUUAAAAAAUCACAGUCCAAAAUUGACUGAAGGAUUUCACAUUUAAAGCAGAGUGAACGGGUAACUCAAAGCACUUCAUCUCUUCUUCCAUUUCCUUCAUAAUGAUUUUAAGUAAAAUAUAUAAUACUGACAAAAAAUAGAAGGUGAAGAUGAUGGCGGAGUCAUAUGAUAAUUUGCUCAAAGAAUUGAGUCUUCAUCUGACCAGAUUGGCCAUAGAAUUUGUCUCCAAUUAUGACCUCUGGUUAACACUAUAGAGGAGAUAUUGUUAACAUAUAAUAUAUAUCAACAGAAAAAUAGCACCAGGACUCAUUCAUCUUUUUGAUCAUUUUUAUCAUUUUUAUAUUUGGGAAUAAUGGCUCCUCUUUGUAGUACUUUAUAAUGCUUUUACAUUUGCAUUAGUCUAGCCAGUGUCACUCUGGUUUGUGGCACUGGCCUGUCAACAGUGUAUUGGUUAUGCAAGUCUUAAAAAAAAACAAACAGAAGAAAAGUAAGAAUUACAACAUCAACAUUCUCUUUAAAAUUAAUGAACAUUGAAACUAUUCUGUACUUUGAAUUAUGUGUUUCAUCAUCAUUACGGGCAAAAUCUUUUAAAUAAUAGAUAAACGCUUUUGCAUUGAUUGUUUUUCUAUAGUCUUUGUUUGCUCCUUAGUGCAAGUUUGUCCAUUUCCAAAUUUAGUUUCUAAUGAAAGCUUUGAUUCCAAGAAGACACGUGUACCAGGACUAUGUAAAACAUACAGAUGAUCUCUGCUUUAUACUUGUGGGAAUAGAUACAAUAUCCUGCAGAGCAAUGGGAACCUAGAGUUAUUAUUAUUAUUAUUAAUGGUAUUUGUAUAGCGCUAACUUGUGCGAAAAUUUUACAAUAAAUUAGACAAUUACAAAAUGAUACAGGAACAACAGGUAGAUGAGGACCCUGCUCAAUCGAGCUUACAGUUCAGUUGAACCUCAAUACAAAGUUAUGACUGAUUGAUACUUGCUACUGAGAAUGUAUAUUUAUCUUUUUGAGAAAACAUGCAGUAAUAUGUUGAGAAUAUUAACCAUAUCAUUUUGAUUUUAAGUUCUCAUUUUAACACUGGAGCUUGCUUCACAAUUAACAGGAAACACGGGCACAAAUGUAUUGUCAAAUCUACCACUUGGUAACAGUUUUUUCUCCGGAUGUUGGUUCCUCUGUUCACUAAAUACUAUAUAGUAGAGUCAUCACCAAAAAGACAAAUAAAAACUAAUUAUCUAUUGAUAAACCUAUGUAUCAGUUUCUUAGACAAAUACUUCACAUGUGCAAUAUCCCUAACUAAAUUUUAGUUACUGAGAAACUGGAGGGUCCACAUAUAAAUUAGAAUAAAUGGGGAACUUAAAGGUCACCCAAAUGAUCCUCCAAAUUAGUCCCCAUCCUUUCUUCCAUGCAAAGUACAGUGGGAUCAAGAGUAAUAUAGAACCUUAAAAAGAGGGUUGUAAGUGAGAAGGUUGUUCGGGUUUUUUUAGUAUUAAUUAGUUGAAAGGAUUGAGUUUUUCUGGUUAAACCUGACAGUAGAAUUUGGCCCCAAGUUGCGACCAGUGUUUGACAUUGUAGAAGGUAUAUUUUAAACCAUCAAAAUCUCUAAAACCCUCUAAAUAUGAAAUAUUAAAAAAAAGCUUACAAAAAUAACAGAACACAACCAUAAACAAGAAUCUUUCUUCUGAUUCACUAUGUGAUCUAAAAUACUGUCUUAUUGUAAUAUAUAUUUUUCGCACCUUAGUGCAAGUCUGUC